UACGGAGGGUGCAAGCGUUGUCCGGAAUCACUGGGCGUAAAGGGCGCGUAGGCGGUCGGGUAAGUCUGAUGUGAAAUCUCACAGCUUAACUGUGAAACUGCAUUGGAUACUAUCCGGCUAGAGGAAUGGAGGGGAGACUGGAAUACUUGGUGUAGCAGUGAAAUGCGUAGAUAUCAAGUGGAACACCAGUGGCGAAGGCGAGUCUCUGGACAUUUCCUGACGCUGAGGCACGAAAGCCAGGGGAGCAAACGGG
rnacentral:rRNA from 1 species